UCGGAUCGCGUCGACGCCGGCGGUUCGCCGCCGGUGACUUGUGAGAAGUUCAUUAAACCUUAUCAUUUAGAGGAGGAGAAGUCGUAACAAGGUUUCCGUAGGUGAACCUGCGGAAGGAUCAUUG
rnacentral:rRNA from 1 species